rnacentral:piRNA from 1 species
UCAGAUGUUCCCAACUUGCCAGGGCAGU